rnacentral:misc_RNA from 1 species
GUGAAUCAUCGAAUCUUUGAACGCACAUUGCGCCCGCCAGUAUUCUGGCGGGCAUGCCUGUUCGAGCGUCAUUUCAACCCUCAAGCCCCAGUGGCUUGGUGUUGGGGACCGGCGACCUCGCCUGCACCUGGUGCAAGCGUCCGCCGCCCCCGAAAUGAAUUGGCGGCCUCGUCGCGGCCUCCUCUGCGUAGUAGCACAACCUCGCAACAGGAGCGCGACGCGGCCACUGCCGUAAAACGCCCAACUUUUUUAGAGUUGACCUCGGAUCAGGUAGGAAUACCCGCUGAACUUAAGCAUAUCAAUAAGCGGAGGA